ACAUGGCUAAUAAUAUCAAAGUGGAAUGUUUACCACCAGGAGAAGCUUUGAAACUGUUCGAGGAGAAGGUUGGGUCAGAAACCCUUCAAAUGCAUCCAGAUAUUCGCAAGUUAGCUGAAGCGGUGGUUGAAGAGUGUGCAGGACUACCUCUCGCUCUCAUUACGAUUGGGCGAGCCAUGGCAUCCAAGAAGACCCCUCCGGAAUGGGAAUAUGCUAUUAAAGUUUUGAGGCAAUCAGCAGCUUCUGUGUUGCCAGGGGUAGGGAAAGAGAUGUAUCCAAAGUUAAAAUUCAGUUAUGACAGUUUAACUAGUGAAAGAGUCAAAUCUUGUUUCUUGUAUUGUUCUUUAUAUCCAGAAGAUCAUCCCAUCCAAAUAGAUGAACUAAUACAUUGUUGGAUCAGGGAAGGAUUUAUGGACAAGCAUACCGAUUUAAGCACUGCCAGAAACCAGGGACAUUUCAUUAUAGGUUCUCUUAUUGAGGCAUGCUUAUUGGAGAAAGUACGUUUUAGUCGUGUAAGGAUGCACGAUGUGGUUCGCGACAUGGCUUUGUGGAUUGUUGGUGAAUUUGAGAAGGAGAAACUUUUAGUAAAAUCAGGUGUUCAGUUAAAGGAACUACCGGAAGCUGAAAAGUGGGAAGAGAUAACAAGAAUGUCGCUUAUGGAUAACAAAAUUGAAAAUCUAACUGAGAUAUUGGAAUGUCCCAAUCUCCAAACUUUGUUUCUUGGCAGGAAUGAUUUGAAGGUAAUCAUGGAUGUUUUCUUUAAUUCUAUGCCGAUGCUAAGGGUUCUAGACUUGUCCGACAAUAUGAAUUUGGAAGAAUUGCCGGUAGGAAUUGCAAAGUUGGUUUCAUUGGAACAUCUCAAUCUGUCAUUCACAAAAAUAACAAAGUUGCCGGUCGAACUGAAGGCCCUGGAAAAGCUGAAAUAUUUGAAUCUAGAGUGGACACGGGAUCUAGAAAUGAUCCCACAACAACUUAUAUCCAGUUUCUCUAAGUUGCAAGUACUGAAAAUGAUGAGAUGUGGCUAUGGAUGUUCAUUGCUUUUGGAGGAACUGGAGCAUUUAAAAUAUUUGAAUGUGUUGACUCUUACUUUUAGAAGCGCUUCAGAGUUGGAAAAAGCUUCGAGGUUCAACAAGUUCUUUAGCUGUGCCAUUGAAUAUGUAAGCCUUCUAGAUUUUAGAGAUUCAAGGUCAUUGAAUAUUUUGGCUUUAGCAAAUCUGCAGAACCUAUAUUCUAUAAAAUGUACGAGUUGUAUGGAUCUGAAGAAGGUGAAGAUCGCAAGCAACAUAGUUGAAGGUGCAAGAUACUUCCAUAGCCUUCGAUAUGUAGGCCUAACCUAUUGCAAACAAAUGAGGGAUGUGAGUUGGGUAAUUUUUGCUCCACAUUUGGAAAAACUACUUAUACGUGAUUGUAACAGUUUAGAAGAAAUUAUUAGUAAGGAAAAACUUGAUGAAGUCACUGAGUCGAAGGCAAAUAAAAACUUAUUUUCUAGGCUCGAGGAGUUGGAUCUACGUCGUCUGCCUAAAAUGAAGACAAUAUGCUACCGUGCUCUGCCUUUCCCACAGCUGAAGAAAAUAUCAAUUGUAAAAUGCCCAAUGCUGAAGAAACUCCCACUAAACUUCAAUAGUGCAAAAGGACAGAGGUUCAUCAUUGAAGGAGAGAAGGAGUGGUGGAAAGAUGUAGAAUGGGAGGAUGAAUCCACUCAAACUGCUUUUCUCCCCUCUUUCAAACCUCAGUAAUCUGUGAAAUGUUGGAUAUUAAUUAAGGCUUAAAGCCAUUAUUGUAUCAUAGCAUACCUCACUGUAAGUUCUAUUUUGCAUAUCUUUAAAUUACAUGUAAUUUAUAAUAAAAUGUUUGAAUUUGAGAGUAUAUCAUGUUGGUUUUCUCUAUUUUUGUUUCUCCCAAAGAGCAGAGCUCAAAUAUUACCUUACUUCAUUAUGAUGGUUCUGCUUUAAACUUAUCUUUUCGAAAGGAGCUGAUGCAUUUAUGGAAGGACUUGAAGUCUUUGUGUCUUGUAGUAUAAUUCGACCAUGUGAAAUUUCACCUGAGUAAGAUAAAACAAAGGAAUUGUCUCAUCUAUAAAUCAAACUCGAAAUGAUAUUCACAUCUACCAGUAGAUAACAUAAUUUCUUUCCCCUUCUCGAGACCACAUGCAUAAGUCAGAAACAUAACCAUCGUAGUUACCUUUGGUAACAGGUUCCUCUGUCAAUCAAGUAGACUGCAUUUCUAAUAUAAAGACUUCAGGCUUCAUUUAUCAAUAAGUUAGAAGGAUUAUCAAAGAAAGGCUAAAAGACAAAGAACGCAUACAAAGAUUUAAUCACUUACAGCAAACUGAUUAGUUAAAUCCUGAUUCUUAUAUUUAUUGGACAUCUCUUCAAUUGGUUCUUUGCCUUUGGACUGCUGUUGUUGUUUCCUUCACUCAGACUCAUACACCUAUUUCAUAAGUGACACAUUCAACAUACAUUUGUAUUAACAGAUGAAAAGCACCAAGUCCCAGCAUUACCUCUCAAUAUCUUCGACCAUGAUCAAGAUAACUGUAACCACCAUAUUUUUUUCUAUGAAAACCAGCUUUAGUCCGUCCAUCUUCAUCACCAACACUUUCAGCAGCUUUACUCAACUCAUCUUCAGCUGAAGUUCUUCUUUCUCAAGUUCUUCCAACCUUGACAUUAUACUGCCAUGCUCUGCCUUUUCCACAGCCGAAGGAAAUAUCAAUUGUAGAAUGCCCAAUGCUGAAGAGGCUCCCACUAAACUCCGAUACUGCAAAAGGACAAACGCUCAUUUUUUUAGAAGAUGAGUAGUAGUGGAAAAAUGUAGAAUGAGAAGAUGAAUCCACUCAAAUUGCUUUUCUCCUUUUUUUCAUACCUCUGUAAACUACAAAUGCUGUCUAUUUUGUUGUCAAAUAACGAUAGUUAUUCAAAUAACAAGUAGGAUUUUAUUGUCAUAUAUGUAUCAUUAAACAUAUGGUCUUAGAUUUUGUGGCCUUCGUCUUCCAAUGCUGUCUCUUGUGUUUCCUUUUCUGAUCAUUGUUUAAGUGGCAAUAAUGGCGCUUGUAUGAAUGCUACUGAUUCAGUCCUAUCAGUAAGUGAGAAAAGCUUUUUUUGGAACUCUAGCUCCCAUUUGGAUAACAAAAAUGUCCAAGGCUGUAGGUGCUUUAGUUCUUUACUUCUCUUUACAUUCCUAGAACAGGGAUUUCAUUUGCUGAUGAAUUGCUAGGAAGGUGGCAGAGUAAUGUUAGAUGUUACUACCUAACAUCUUACACAUGCUGCUCUUAGUAUUCCUUUUUCUUUUUUUGAUGGGAUCUUAGUCCUCCUCAAUAAUGCAAGUUGCCAAUGAGGGGAGUGGUUUCCACACAAAAGACAAGAAUUUCCUGUCAUCUGUCAUAACACCUCAGCAUGCCAAAUUGGAAUUCAGACUUUAGAAUAAAAUUGAGGUUCUAAAAUUGCAGAUUCACUGGUUGAUUGCAAGUUGCAAAUGAGGGGAAUGGUUUCCACACAAAAGACAAAUCCUUUUAUCUGUCAUAAAUAUCAGCACCCAUAAUGCCCUGCCCAAAGCUACCAAAGAAAGUGGAACCCUUGAAAGAGAAAGAGAGAUGUAGGUCCAACAUGUGAAUUCCUGAUCAUUCUAUUAAAAUAUUCAUUCUAUUAAUAAAAUCAUAAAAACUUCAAACUUUAUAAUAUUAUUACUUUUAGUUAUCAAAAUAUAUAACUUUUUUUGAAAUACAGGUACCACAUUAAAAAAAUUUAUCAAACUUAAAUAUUAAAUGAUAUAUUAAGCAUUUCAAUAAACAAACUUUGUAAACAUUUAUGUAAAAUUUUAAACAUCUUUGAUUAUUUUAUAUUUUAAUUAUUAUUUGGUACCAAAAUACAUGUGAACUUCCAACAGUUUGUCUUUGUUUACCUGCGAAUUUUCUUUCUCUCAGUUUUUCUUUACCAAAAUAUUCUCAAUCUUUCAUAUAACUCCAUAAGCAUCUUUGAUUUAUUCCUUGCUUCUAUUUCCAGAAAUUUUUCGGCUCACUUUUCUAAAAUCAAAACUUGGUAUGGGUAAUAUGUGAAAAAUAGAACAUAGAAAAGUGUGAAUAGUCGACACCACACGGGCGUGAACUACCUGUGUGGUAGCCCAUGUGACUAAACAUGGGCAUACAAUCGACGAGGCUGACCAUGUUUGAAUUCAUAGGCUGGGCCGUAUUGGGCUGAAUUGGGCCUUGUGAGCCCCAUGGGCAUAUGGGCCCCACACGGGUGAACCUCACGGACAUGUGAAAAUUAUUGGGCAAGGCUAUGUAAUCCACACGGCCAAGGCCAUUUUGGGCCGUGUGGGCCCAUAAUAUGGGUUGUAGGCCCAUUUUUACUGUUUGACUGUUAAGGUUGCACGGGUCGCCUGAGACGACUGUAGACCUACUGUUGGGUCGGUAAGCUUACUUAGACCCCUAAUUGACUGAAUGACUGUUAUGCCCCUGUGUGAUGUAUACAUAUGUAUGUUCAUGUAUGACUAUAUUUUAGCAUGCUAUUUUUAACUGUAUUGAGUACAUGUAUAAUAUUAUGAUAUGACAUGACAUGUUGCAUGAUGCAUUGCAUGGGGAUGAGUUUUUAUAUGAUUGGAGGAAGUGUACUAUACUGGCAGCUCUGCUGCAAAUCACUAAUGGCUCUAGGCCUAAUAUACUGGCAACUCUGCUGCAAAUACUGUUUAGUGCCGCAACUGGUACAUCUUGGAGUGUAGGGAUGGGUGGGUUGAUUAUAUUCCCAUAUGAAGUGUAUGGUUGGACGGAGAUGGAGUGUAGAGGCUAGUCGAGUAGGAUUUCCUGAUUGCAUAUCCGUACCGUUACUGUUACUGAGAUAGGCUUAGGCCCAACCUAUUAUUGAUAUUGUAAUGGGCUAGGGCCCUAACUGAAACUGAACCGUUAUUGAAAUGGGCUUAGGCCCAGAUUGUAUAUGCUUUCUGUCUGGUUGUGUUAUAUGGGAUUACACACUGAGUUUUAGUAAACUCACCCUCCUGUUUUAAUUGUAUAAGUAAUCCCCAGACAUGGGCGGAUCGGUGCAAUGGAGGACUCAGCGGUGGCCACACGACCUGUCUAAUUUUAAAACAGUAUUUUAUGAUUUCGAUUUAAUUUUUGGGUAUUUUACUGUAAUAAUGGCCUCUUUGAAUUUCUAUUUUUAAUUUAGGAUUUUUAUUUUUUUUGGUUUAUAACUGCUAGCAGUAGGAAAAGACACGGGUUUUCAAAAAGAUAAAUAUUUUAUCAAAGAUACCACGAAUAUGUAACCUGUUUUAAGAGCUUUCGCAAUAAAUGACGUUUUAAAAAUUAAUAACGUUCUAAUGUGAAUAACUUUUUGACAAUGACUCACAUUUUGAAAAUGAACGACACAUCUUAGAAUCAUCAUUGAGAUCACACAAAGAGGUUAAAUAGAAAAAGAAUUUUCAUCGAUAUCACACUUUACGAAAAACACUUCAAUGUGAUAUCGCCAGAUUCGGCCAUAACGUCUAGGCCAGGUUUGGGGUGUUAUAACAAUACCUGUGAUGAAGUUGUAUUUGGUAGAUUUUUUUUCAACUUUUGAACCCGUGAAAGCCAGCAUAGGUAAUCAGUAAAUCAUGAGAAAAGUUAACACUGUAAUUUUUGGUACUAAAAUCACUAGAAAAAAUCAAAUACUAAAUGAUAUAUUAAGUCUUUAAAUAAAUAUUAGCUUUAAAAUUUUAGAAACAAAAUUUUUUAAUUAAAUAAAAUAUAAAACCACUUACAUUUAAUACAAUAUAUAAUUAUUUUUAUUAUUUUAAAUACUUGUUUAUAUAGUUUUUUUUUUAAUUUAAAACAGUUUUGGAAAAAAACUAUUUUUUCUGAAAAAAUAUUUAUAAAUAUAAAUCAUUUUAAAAUAUUUAAAAAUAUAGUAUUUUAAUUAUAAUUGUUAAUAAUUUUAAAUCUUCCUACAUUUUUUAAUCAACAAAUUGUGAUAUAUUUUUAGCAUAUUUUUUAAUCAACAAAUUAUGCCCAUUUAUCUUAAAUUUUAAAGAAGUAAUUUAACUAUGUUCUAAAUAGAUAACGUGUUAAGUAAAAUAUGAAUAUUGAAAUUAGGAUAUGCAAUUAGUUAUGGUUUAAUCAUAUUAUAUCAUAUUGUAACAUGAAGCUUAUGAGUGAAAAUCCUCAUAUCUUUUUUAUUUUGUCUAUAGUGCUCAACUUACCUCCUCUGCAUUUUGAAUCUAGACACCUGCUUUGAAGGUUGAGAACCAGAUGACUGCAGAGGGCAUUAAUUUUGCAAUAAGUUGGUGGCUAUACUACUUAAUAACUACAUACUCACAAAGAUGUGUAAGCACAAUUUUUUAUGUGUUCCAUGUCUUUAAUUGGAUUAUGAUAACCCCUGAAACAAUUUCUGAAUUCUUCCAUUGGCAUAUAUGGUCAUGAAUUCAGUUACCUUGAUCUUCCACUGUUUUCUGUUUUUUGCUGAUGUUUUUUUAAGUGGCAAUGAUAGUGCUUGUGAAUAUCUCAUACAUGAAUGCUGUGGGAAGCUAAUGCAGGGCAAAGCAAGUUGUGAGUUUCUACCCAACAUGCUCAUCUUAGUCUUUCUUUUCUGAUGGGAUCUUAAUAAUUGAGGUUCCUUUAUCUUUGUUGAAGUGGAAGCCUUUAAAGAAAGAGGUAGCUCCCAACUUGCCUGAUUUUUAUAUUAAACAAACUUUACACCUACUAUGAUUAAUUAAAAUAUGUUGUAUUAAUGUUGCUCAAGUUGUAAAAUAGAAUAAGAAAUUGCAUAUGGUAUCCACUGCACACAAAAUAUGCCUUACAAUGGACCGAUUGUGUUAAAACCAAAUAAAGUGGGAUAAAAGGGAGCUGUGUGCAAUGCAAGUCUUUCCACCAAGUCAAUGAUUUUACACAAUUUACUGUAAUUAUCAUCAUAUUCACUAUCUCUUUUUUUUUUGGGUAUCAAAAUGCAUGUGAACUUCCAACAGUUUGUCUUUAUUUUUCUCCCCUUUGUAGUCUCAAACUUUCAUAGAACUCCAUAAGCAUCUUUGAUUUAUUCCUUGCUUCUAUUUCCAGAUUGUUGAACUCACUCUUCUACAAUCAAAACCAGGUAUGGGUAAUAUCUUCUCAAUCUCACUUUCACUCGAUCCCAUCAUUACCCGUUUCUCGGAUUGUGCGACUGGACGGGCAAGUUAUAUAUGCAACCUCGAAGAUAACCUCCAUGCUUUACAAGCUGAAGUAGCAGGACCGAAGGAGCUCAGGAGUGAUCUGAUGAGCAGGGUCAGAAUUGCUGAAGAUGAGCAGCAGCUUAAGCGGCUAAACCAAGUUGAGGGUUGGCUUUCGAGGGCUGAAACUCUGAUAAACGAUGCUGAUCAAUUGCGGCUAAACCAAGUUGAGGGUUGGCUUUCGAGGGCUGAAACUCUGAUAAACGAUGCUGAUCAAUUGAUUGUCCAAAGUCCUCAGCAUGUUGAAAAUCUAUGUAUGGGAGGUUGUUGCUCCACUCAUCCUAGGUCCAGCAUCAAGUUCGGGAAGAAAAUUGCCAAAAAACUCCAAGAGGUGAAAGACCAGAAGGAGAAUGGAGAUUUCAGUGAGGUGGCCAGCAAGCCACCACUUCCUCCAGCAACUGAAAGACCUAGUCAGCCAACUGUGGGUUUAGAGUCCAACUUCAACAAGGUUUGGAGUUGUCUUCAAACGGAACAAGUGGGAAUUAUUGGCAUAUAUGGCUUAGGAGGGGUUGGCAAAACAACCCUCCUAAACUUCCAUGAUACUACCCAUGAUUACCAUGUCAUUUGGGCAGUUGCAUCACAAGAUCGGCCAAUUGAGAGAGUCCAGGAUCAAAUUGCCGAAAGAAUAGGCCUUUCUAAUGAAGGUUGGAAAUCUAAGAGCCUUGAUGAGAAAGCUGAAGGCAUCUUCAAGGUAUUAUGUAAAAGGAAGUUUGCAUUGUUGUUGGAUGAUAUAUGGGAAUGGUUUGAUCUCACAAGAGUUGGGGUACCUCUUCCAACACAAGAAAAUGGCUCUAAAGUCAUUUUCACAACUCGUCGUCUUGACGUGUGCUGUCAAAUGCAACCGAACAUGGAUAAUAAUAUCAGAGUGCAAUGUUUACCACCAGGAGAAGCUUUCAAACUGUUCGAGGAGAAGGUUGGCUCAGAGACCCUUCAAAUGCAUCCAGAUAUUUGCAAGUUAGCUGAAGCGGUGGUUGAAGAGUGUGCAGGACUACCUCUCGCUCUCAUUACAAUUGGGCGGGCCAUGGCAUCCAAGAAGACUCCUCACGAAUGGAAAUAUGCUAUUGAAGUUUUAAGGCAAUCAACAGCUUCUGUGUUCCCAGGGGUAGGGAAAGAGAUGUUUCCCAAGUUAAAAUUCAGUUAUGACUAUUUAACGAGUGAAAGAGUCAAAUCUUGUUUCUUGUAUUGUUCUUUAUAUCCAGAAGAUUAUAGCAUCCCAAAAGAGGAACUAGUAGAUUGUUGGAUCGGGGAAGGACUUUUGGACAAGCAUACCAAUUUGAGCAGUGCCAGAAACCAGGGACUUUUCAUUAUAGGUUCUCUUAUUUACGUAGGCUUAUUGGAGAAAGAAGGUAAUCUCUUUGUAAAGAUGCACAAUGUGAUUCGUGACAUGACUUUGUGGAUUGCUGGUGAAUCUGAGAAGAAGUUUUUUGUAAAAUCGGGUGUUCAGUUAAAGGAACAACCAAAAGCUAAAAAGUGGGAAGAGGUAACAAGAAUGUUGCUGAUGGAGAAUCAAAUUGAAAAUCUAACUGAGAUAUUGGAAUGUCCCAAUCUCCAAACUUUGUUUCUUAGGAGUAAUCAUUUGAAGGUAAUCAUCAAUGAUUUCUUUAAUUUCAUGCCGAUGCUAAGGGUUCUGGACUUGUCUAGAAAUAUGAAUUUGGAAGAAUUGCCGGUAGGAAUUGCAAAGUUGGUUUCACUAGAACAUCUCAAUUUGUCACGGACAAGAAUAAAAAAGUUGCCAGUUGAAUUGAAGGCCCUAGCAAAGCUGAAAUAUUUGAAAUUGGAGAAAACAAGCAGGCUGAGUAUGAUCCCUCAACAACUGAUAUCCAGUUUCUCCAAGUUGCAAGUACUGAAAAUGGUGGGUUGUGGUUAUAGAUGUUCGUUGGUUUUGGAGGAAAUGGAGCAUUUAAAAUAUUUGAAUGUAGUAACCAUUACUUUUAGAAGCGCUUCAGAGUUGGAAAAAGCUUCGAGGUUCAACAAGUUCUUAAGCUUUACCUUUGAAUAUGUAAGCCUUGAAGAUUUCAUGGAUUCAAGAUCAUUGAAUAUGUUGGCUUUAGCUAAUGUGCCACAUCUACAGAGUUUAUCAUUUUCUUUUUGUAUGUAUCUGGAAGAAGUGAAGAUUGAAAGCAACAUAAUUGAAGGUGUGGGACGCUUCCAUAGCCUUCAAUUUGUAAGCCUAUGUUAUUGCACUCGAUUGAAGGAUGUGAGUUGGAUAAUUUUUGCUCCAAAUUUGUUAGGACUAUUUAUAAUCAGCUGCCAAGGUUUAGAAGAAAUUAUCGACGAGGAAAAACUUGAUGAAGUCACUAAGUCCAAGGCAGAUGGUAACUUAUUUUCUAAACUUGAGGUUUUUUAUCUAAAAGAUUUGCCCGAAAUGAAAACAAUAUACCGCCAUGCUCUGCCUUUCCCGCAACUGGAGGAAAUCAAAAUUCUAGAAUGCCCAGUGUUGAAGAAGCUCCCUUUAAACUCCAAUAGUGCAAAAGGACAAAGGCUCGUCAUUGGAGGAGAGGAGGGAUGGUGGAAAGAUGUAGAAUGGGAGGAUGAAUCCACUCGAGUUGCUUUUCUCCCUUCUUUCAAACCUGAGGUGGAAUGGUGGAAAGAUGUAGAAUGGGAGGAUGAAUCCAGUCGAAUUGCUUUUCUCUCUUCUUUCAAACCUGGUCUAUUCUAAUAAAUGUUGGACAUUAAUUAACGCCUAAAACCUUGAUUGUAUCAUAAUAUACCUCAUUGUAAGUUCUAUUGUGCCUAUCCCUAGAUUACAUGUAGCUUGGUUCUUUGUUUUACACAGACUUUUUUCUUUAGUAUGAUUUUGAAAAUAUAUUAUGUUAAUGAAUUUAAAUUUGAAGUAUAACUUUCAACCCAUCAUAUCAUUUUCUUUUAAUUUUAUAACUAAAAAUUUCCAUAAUUAUAGUAAAAUUAAAAUUUUCUUAUAAAUGUUGUUUUAGUUUGUAUUUCUGUAUAUUUAAAUAUGAAAUUUUUUAUAGGAGAGAAAAAUAUGUUAAGUAUAAAUUCUGAAUUUUAAAAAAUUAAAAAUUUAAGUUUUAAUAAGUUAAUAAAAUAUAAUUUAUUUUCAUUUAUUAUACAUGUUAUCAAUAAAAAAACUUAUUAGAUACUAAAUAUUGAUAAUUAUAUUAUAAUAAAAUAACGGUGACAUAAUAUAAAUUUUAAUAUUUUUAUAUUAAAACUCAUUAAUACAAAUUAUUAACAUUUUAAAAUUGUUUAUGAUUGUAGAAUCUGAGAUCAUGCAAGUACAAAUAUUAACAAUGAUGUUUCAAUGUGUUUCAAUGUUGAAAUAUGGUUAUAUGAUUAGAUUAGGGUGUUUCAAAUUUAAAUAUAUAUAAUAAAAAAAUUAUUAUUAUAAAAAUUAUUUACUGAUUAUUUUUUUAAUAUUUUAAUAAUAAAAAAAUUAUUAUUAUACAAAUUAUUAUUAAAAAAUUAUUAAAAACCAACUUAAUCAUUGUUUCGAUAUCAUAUAUGAGCUCAGCUUAAUUUGUGAACAUCUUUACUCAAACACGAUUAUUAAAAGUGAGAUUAUGUAUAUGAAUUCUCUAUAAUUAUAGACUCAUAAACAAGUUAUUGUAAUUAAUAUUCAAAUGGCAAUCUCUGAAUUUAAUAAGUUACAGCAAACUGAUUAGUUAAAUGUUUGAUGAGUAUAGUUAUUAGACAUCUCCUUCUCCCACUUCCUUUGCAUUUUGAAUUUAGCCCCUCUUGUAACACUAAAAUAACAUUAACAGAGAAAGAUUAUGUAUAGAGGUAAGAAUACUAUGCCUAAUUUCAACUUGAUUUUGUAAUAUUUCCAUCAAAUAAUUUAUGCGCCUUUAUCAUAGUGUUAUAAUUAAGAGUGUGUGUCCACUUCUGCGGAUUCUCGUGUGGUGUGUUAAUAAUUUUGAGAAAUACUCGGUACUAAGUGAGUAUAAGCUGAUGAAAAAGCGAAAUCUUAUUUCGUGUAUUGUUAUUUAUAUCCAGAAAAUGAUCUCAUUAAAAAAGAUGCACUAAUGUAUUAUAGGUAAUCAGUAUCAGAAAUGUUAUCACUAUAAUUUUUGGGUACUAAAAUCAUGAGAAAAAAUCGAAUAUUAAAUGAUAUAUUAGCUUUAAAAUUUUAGAAACAAAAUUUUUAAUUAAAUAAAAUAUAAAACCACUUAAAUGAAUACAAUAUACUACCAUGCUCUGCCUUUCCCACGGCUGAAGAAAAUAUCAAUUGUAAAAUGCCCAAUGCUGAAGAAACUCCCACUAAACUCCAAUACUGCAAAAGGACAGAGGCUCAUCAUUAAAGGAGAGUGGGUGGUGUAAAGAUGUAGAAUGGGAGGAUGAAUCCACUCGAACUGCUUUUCUCCCCUCUUUCAAACCUCUGUAAUCUAUGAAAUGUUGGAUAUUAAUUAAGGCUUAAAGCCAUUAUUGUAUCAUAGCAUACCUCACUGUAAGUUCUAUUUUGCAUACCUUUAAAUUACAUGUAAUUUAUAAUAAAAUGUUUGAUUUGAGAGUAUAUCAUGUUGGUUUUCUCUAUUUUUGCUUCUCCCAAAGAGCAGAGCUCAAAUAUUACCUUAUUUCAUUAUGAUGGUUCUGCUUCAAACUUACCUUUUCGAAAGGAGCUGAUGCAUUUAUGGAAGGACUUGAAGUCUUUGUGUCUUGUAUAAUUCGACCAUGUGAAAUUUCACCUGAGUAAGAUAAAACAAAGGAAUUGUCUCAUCUAUAAAUCAAACUUGAAAUGAUAUUCACAUCUGUCAGUAGAUAACAUAAUUUCUUUCCCCUUCGUCAGACCACAUGCCAUAAUUCAGAAACAUAACCAUCGUAGUUACCUUUGUUAACAGGUUCCUCUGUCAAUCCAGUAGACUGCAUUUCUAAUAUACAGACUUCAGGCUUCAUUUAUCAAUAAGUUAGAAGGAUUAUCAAAGAAAGGCUAAAAGACAAAGAAGGCAUGCAAAGAUUUAAUCACUUACAGCAAACUGGUUAGUUAAAUACUGAUGCUUAUAUUUAUUGGACAUCUCUUCAAUUGGUUCUUUGCCUUCGGACUGCUGUUGUUGUUUCCUUCACUCAGACUCAUACACCUAUUUCAUAAGUGACACAUUCAACAUACAUUUGUAUUAGCUGGUAAAAAGCACCAAGUCCCAACAUUACCUCUCAAUAUCUUCGAACAUGAUCAAGAUAACUGUAACCUUCAUGUUUUUUUCUAUGAAAACCAGCUUUAGUCAGCUCAUCUUCAUCACCAUCACUUUCAGCAGGUUUACUCAACUCAUCUUCAGCUGAAGUUCUUCUUUCUCAAGUUCUUUCCAACCUUGACAUUAUACUGCCAUGCUCUGCCUUUCCCACAGCUGAAGGAAAUAUCAAUUGUAGAAUGCCCAAUGCUGAAGAAGCUCCCACUAAACUCCGAUACUGAAAAAGGACAAACGCUCAUCAUUUUAGAAGAUGAGUAGUGGUGGAAAAAUGUAGAAUGAGAAGAUGAAUCCACUCAAAUUGCUUUUCUCCUUUUUUUCAUACCUCUGUAAACUACAAAUGCUGUCUAUUUUGUUGUCAAAUAACGAUAGUUAUUCAAAUAACAAGUAGGAUUUUAAUGUCAUAUAUGUAUCAUUAAACUUAUGGUCUUGGAUUUAGUUGCCUUCGUCUUCCAAUGCUGUCUCUUGUGUUUCCUUUUCUGAUCAUUGUUUAAGUGGCAAUAAUGGUGCUUGUAUGAAUGCUAGUGAUUCAGUGCUAUCAGUAAGUGUGCAAAGCUUUUUUUGGAACUCUAGCUUCCAUUUGGAUAACAAAAAAGUCCAAGGCUGUACUUCUCUUUACAUUCCUAGAACAGGGAUUUCAUUUGCUGAUGAAUUGCUAGGAAGGUGGCAGAGUAAUGUUAGAUGUUACUACCUAACAUCUUACACAUGCUGCUAUUAGUAUUCCUUUUUCUUUUUUUUUCGAUGGGAUCUUAGUUCUCCCCAAUAAUGCAAGUUGCCAAUGAGGGGAGUGGUUUCCACACAAAGGACAAGAAUUUUCUUUCAUCUGUCAUAACUCUCAGCAUGCCAAAUUGGAAUUCAGACUUUAGAAUAAAAUUCAGGUUUUAAAAUUGCAGAUUCACUGGUUGAUUGCAAGUUGCCAAUGAGGGGAAUGGUUUGCACACAAAAGACAAGAUCCUUUUAUCUGUCAUAAAAAUUAGCAUGUCAAAUUGGACAUACUGUCCACCCAUAAUGCCCUGCCCAAAGCUACCGAAGAAAGUGGAACCCUUGAAAGAGAAAGAGAGAUGUAGGUCCAACCUGUGAAUUCCUUUAUUGGAUCAUGCCACUAAAAAAUAUUCAUUUUAUUAACAAAAUCAUAAAAACUUUAAACUUUAUAAUAUUAUAAAAUUUAAGUAUCAAAAUAUAUAGCUUUUCUAAAAUACAGCUAUCACAUUAAAAAAAAUUAUCAUAUCAAAUAAUAUAUUAAGCAUUUCAAUAAUUAUUAACUUUAAAAUUUUAGAAACAAAAUAUUUUAAUUAAAUAAAAUAUAAAACCACUUAAAUUUAAUACAAUAUAUAAUUAUUUAUUAUUAUUUUAAAUACUUGUAUAUAUAGUUUUUUUUAAUUUAAAACAGUUAUGGAAAAAAGAUUUUAUUGAAAACAUAUUUAUAAAUUUAAUUUAAUUUAAUUUUUUUAAAAACAUAGUAAUUUAAUUUUAAUUUUGAAUAGUUUUAAAUUUAUAUACAUUUUUUAAUUAACAAAUUGUAAUAUAUUUUUAGCAUAAUUUAAACACUUUGUACAUAUUUAUGUAAAAUUUUAAAAAUUUUUGAUUAUUUUAUAUUUUUAUUAUUUUUUGGUACCAAAAUACAUGUGAACUUCCAACGAUUUGUCUUUGUUUACCUGCGGAUUUUCUCUCUCUCUUUUUGUUUACGAAAAUAUUCUCAAUCUUUCAUAUAGCUCUAUAAGCUUCUUUGAUUUAUUCCUUACUUCUAUUUCCAGCAAUUGUUCAGCUCACUCUUCUAAAAUCAAAAACAGGUAUGGGUAAUAUCUUCUCAAUCUCACUUUCACUCGAUACCAUCAUUACCCGUUGUUGGGAUUCUGCUUUUCUAUGCAAACUUGAAAAAAACCUCCCUGCUUUAAAAACUGAAGUGGAAGAUUUGAAGGCGACCAGGAGGGAUCUGAUGAGCAGGGUCAGGGUCGCUGAAGAUGAGAAGCAACUUAAGCGGCUACCCCAAGUUGAUCUUUGGCUUCAGAGGGCUGAUCGUGUGAUAACCGAUGCUGAUAAACUGAUUGUCCAAAGUCCUCAGCAUGUUGAAAAGUUAUGUAUGGGAGGUUGUUGUUCCAGGCAUCCCAGGUCCACCCACAAGUUCGGGAAGCAAAUCGCCACAAUACUCCAAGAGGUGAAAGGCCUGAAGGAGAAAGGAGAUUUCAGUGACGUGGCCUGCAAGCCACCAAUUCCUUCCGCAAAUAAACGACCUUCUGAUCCAACUGUGGGUUUAGAGUCGUAUGUCAAUCAGGUUUGGAGCUGUCUUCAAAAGGAACAAGUGGGAAUUAUUGGCAUAUAUGGCUUAGGAGGGGUUGGCAAGACAACCCUCCUAAACCAAAUCAAUAACAAAUUCCAUGAUACUACCCAUGAUUACCAUGUAAUUUGGGCAGUUGCAUCGCAAGAUCGGCCAAUUGAGAGAGUCCAGGAUGAGAUUGCCAAAAGAAUAGGCCUCUCUAAUGAAGGUUGGAAAUCUAUUGAAGAGAAAGCCGCAGACAUCUUCAACGUCUUACGUAAAAAGAAGUUUGCAUUGUUGUUGGAUGAUAUAUGGGAAUGGUUUGAUCUCACAAGAGCUGGGGUACCUCUUCCAACACAAGGAAAUGGCUCUAAAGUCAUUUUCACAACUCGUCGUCGUGAUGUGUGCUGUCAAAUGCAACCGAACAUGGAUAAUAAUAUCAGAGUGGAAUGUUUACCACCAGGAGAAGCUUUCAAACUGUUCGAGGAGAAGGUUGGAUCAGAGACCCUUCAAAUGCAUCCAGAUAUUUGCAAGUUAGCUGAAGCGGUGGUUGAAGAGUGUGCAGGACUACCUCUCGCUCUCAUUACAAUUGGGCGGGCCAUGGCAUCCAAGAAGACUCCUCACGAAUGGAAAUAUGCUAUUGAAGUUUUAAGGCAAUCAACAGCUUCUGUGUUCCCAGGGGUAGGGAAAGAGAUGUUUCCCAAGUUAAAAUUCAGUUAUGACUGUUUAGCUGAUGAAAAAGUGAAAUCUUGUUUCCUGUAUUGUUCUUUAUAUCCAGAGGAUAAAUCCAUCGAAAAAGAUGAACUAAUACAUUGUUGGAUCGGGGAAGGACUUUUGGACGAGCAUACCAAUUUGAGCAGUGCCAGAAACCGGGGACAUUUCAUUAUAGGUUCUCUUAUUGACGCAUGCUUAUUGGAGAAACAAGGUAAUCAUCGUAUAAAGAUGCACGAUGUGAUUCGCGACAUGGCUUUGUGGAUUGCUGGUGAAUCUGAGGAGAAGUUUUUUGUCAAAUCAGGUGUUCAGUUAAAGGAACAACCAAAAGCUAAAAAGUGGGAAGAGGUAAUAAGAAUGUCGGUGAUGGAUAAUCUAAUUGAAAAUCUAACUGACAUAUUGGCAUGCCCCAAUCUCCAAACUUUAUUUCUUGGGAGGAAUCGUUUGAAGGUGAUCAUCAAUGAUUUCUUUAAUUUCAUGCCGAUGCUUAGGGUUCUAGACUUGUCCCACAAUAUGAAUUUGAAAGAAUUGCCAGUUGGAAUCGGAAAGUUGGUUUCACUAGAACAUCUCAAUCUGUCGUUUACACACAUAAGAAAGCUGCCAAUCGAAUUGAAGGCCUUAAAAAAUCUGAAAUAUUUGAAUUUGGAGCGGACAAGGAGGCUGAGAAUAAUCCCACAAUUGAUAUCCAGUUUCUCUAAGUUGCAAGUACUGAAAAUGGAGGGGUGUUGCUAUCAAUGUUCACUGGUUUUGGAGGAAAUGGAGCAUUUAAACUAUUUGAAUGUGUUGACCAUUACUUUUACAAGCACUUCGGAGUUAGAAAAGGCUUUGGGGUUCAACAAGUUCAUUAGCUGUGCCAUUGAACAUGUAAGCCUUCAAGGUUUUAGAGAUUCAAGGUCAUUGAAUAUUUUGGCUUUAGCAAAUUUGCAGCCUUUAUAUAGCUUAGAACUUUCGGGUUAUAUGGUUAUUGAAGAUGUGAAGAUCGAAAGUAACAUAAUUGAAGGUGUAGGAUGCUUCCAUAGCCUUCGAUCUAUAUACCUAUUCGACUGCAAUCAAUUGAGGGAUGCGAGUUGGAUAAUUUUUGCUCCACAUUUGGAACGACUAUUUAUACGUGAUUGCCAGGGUUUAGAAGAAAUAAUCAGUGAGGAAAAACUUAGUGAAGUCGCCGAGCUAAAGGGAAAUUCAAACUUGUUUUCUAAGCUAGAGUUUUUGCAUCUACAUAAUCUGCCCAAAAUGAAGACAAUAUACAGACAUGCUCUACUUUUUCCGCAGCUGAAGAGAAUCACAAUUUUAAAUUGCCUAAUGCUGAAGAAGUUCCCACUAAACUCCAAUAGUGCAAAAGGACGAAGGCUCGUCAUUGAAGGAGAUGAGGGAUGGUGGAAAGAUGUAGAAUGGGAGGAUGAAUCUACUCAAAUUGCUUUUUUCCCCUCUUUCAAACAUCGGUAAUUUACUAAAUGUUGGAUAUUAAUUAAGGCUUAAAGCCAUUAUUGUAUCAUAGCAUACCUCACUCUAAGUUCUAUUUUGUCUAUCCACAUGACUUUUUCCUUUAAAUGAAUUAACCCAUUUUUAUAAUUUAUUUUUUUUUAUUGUAGAUUAAGUCUUGGCUCAAUUAAUAUUGUUAUUAUGGCGACAAUAAGAGAAUGUGAGUUUAAGCAAAAAUAAAUAUAAAUUAUUUUUUGAUUCACACGUUUAAGAGACUAUAAGUAGUAAUAGGAAAAUCUAUAAAUUUUUUUAUUAUUUAUAUUGGUUUUUGUUUAAUAAUUUUCUUUAAAAGAAACCAACUUAAGCAUUGUUUCGAUAUCAUAUAUGAGCCUGACUUAAUCUGUAAAUAUUUUACUCAAACCCAAUUAGACAUCUCCUUCUCCUACUUCUUUUGCAUUUUGAAUUUAGCCCCUCUUAUAACACUAAAAUAACAUUAACAGGUAAAGACUGUGUAAAGAGGUAAGCAUACUAUGCCCACUUUCAACUUGAUUUUGUAAAUAUUUCCAUCAAAUAAUUUAUGCGUCUUUAUAAUAGUGUCAUAAUUAAAAAUGUGUGUCCACUUCUGCAGAUUCUCAUGUGGUGUGCUGAUAAUUCUGGGAAAUACUCGGUACUAAGUCGGUAUAAACUGAUGAAAAAGUGAAAUUUAGUUUUGUGUAUUAUUCUUUAUAUCCAAAAGAUGAUCUCAUUCAAAAAGAUGCACUAAUACAUUAUAGGUAAUCAGUAUCAGAAAUGUUACCACUGUAAUCUUUGGGUACUAAAAUCAUGAGAAAAAAUCGAAUAUUAAACGAUAUAUUAGUGUAAUGGGCCAAUUUAACCCGGGCCCGUAUAAGCACAAAACCAAAAUAAAUAAAAAUACAUUAACAGUCCAAUAAAAGUCCAUUUAAUUAAUGUCCUAUUACAAGCCCAAAACAGUCCCUCUAGCCCAAAUCUAGUGGCCCAAUACCCAAUUAACCCAAGUGGCCCAAGGUUUGAAAACAGGGCAGAACCCUAGCAGCAAGGAACGCCGCAGCCCUAGCCUCCAGCACGCCUCCGUACGACCCCCUGUGCACCUCCGUACAGCCUUGACGCACCACCCGUACCCGAGCGCCAGCACACUCGCACCUGCAAGGAGACAAACAAGCAACAACAGCAAAGAAACACCAAAAAGAAAAAACAUUGUAUUUUUUGUUUUUUCGUUAAUUUUUCCUCUUUCCUUUCGGCUAUAAAGCCAGAGUUUGAGUCUUUGUAAAAGGUUACGUGGAGAGAGAAUACACGUACAAUACAGAUACACAUUUUCGCAUAUUGAAUACAAAAGAAACACCAAAAAGAAAAGGUGAUUUCUGUUCCUAAGUUUCUGGGUUUAUUACACUUUAUUCUUGUCCAUUCCCGUUGAUUUUCUUUCUUUUUAGUAUCUAAAUAAAAAGAAAAAGGAAACGAAACCUUACCUUGAAAAUAGGCCAUCGAUCCUCCCCUGCUUCGUCGAAAUCGAAGUUAAAGGGAGAGGAUUUUGAGGCCAAAGAACGACUUGCCGAGGCCAGAAGCACGAAACGCCUUCUCGAUGGCGGUUUGGGUGUUCGAAACGGGGCUUUAGGUUUCGGCCAGAUGAAGAGGGCAGCAAAGAAAGGAAGGAGGAGGCUAGGGUUUUGAAAUGGCUGAAUAGCCAAAUUUGGGGCUUUUUUUAAAGGUCUGAAUACGAUGCCGUUUCAAGCCAGUAACCAAUGGCAUUGAAACGGUGUCGUAUCUAUCCUCCGACCCGACCCGAUCCGGUGUACUACCCCGAUGACCCGCGUGUUUUUGCGGUGAGGGAUUAUUUACAAUAUUAGUCCCUCCCUUUCGCACCAUGUGCAAAUCGGUUUAUAUUCACAUUCCUUUUUUCUUAAAUUUCCCCUACAAUUUGCGCGCACUUGCAGAUAAAGCCCCUGCGCAUUGGCGCGCAUCGUGCAGUGGUCCCUUCCUUCAUUUUUUUGUUUUCAAAUUUUCCCCUUUAUUUUGGAUCUUUUUUAUUAAGUCCUUUUAGUGUAUUUUUAAUUCAUUAUAUUCUAAUAUCUUUUCCUUUUUUAAUGACUUUAGAUGAUUGUUUUUUUUAUUCUCGUAAAUUCAUUUCUGUAGCAUUAACAUUACACUUUGAAUACUUCAAAUUUUCAUCUCAUUCGCAUUAUUAUACAUAUAUACAUUAUAAUAAUGAUUAUCUAUUUUUAUACAUAAUGGCUUUUGACUCUAUAUAUAUCUUUGCAUGUCAAUAUAUUUCUUUUAUUGUUCUAAUAUGUUUUAUAUACGUUUCACAUAGGAUUUAAGUUAUUUUGUAUCCAUUUAUAUUAGUACAUGUAUUUAAUUCAUACACAUUAUUAAGCAUGUAUAUACCUUAUCUAUGAAUUUGCAUGUACUUACUUUUAGACACAUGUAUUUAUAUAUUAAUAUGUUUAUUACCCUAAUAGACUUCUUAUUUUAAUAUACUUUUCGUUUUAUGAUUUAUUAAAUAUUCUCUAUAUAUAUGAAAUAAUUCUUGGAAACUUCUUUUUUGUAUACUUAUAAAAUUAUUAUUUUUGAGUGUAUGUAUAUAUUUUAUAUUGCUUUUGUGUUUUACAUAUAGCCUAUUAUCUAAAUAUUUUGAUAUAAGGGCAUAUAUAUAAUUUUUAGACUAUUUUAAAAUUUUAUAUACACCUUAUUAUUAAUCUCAUGUUCUUUUUUUAUAAUAAACUUGCAUGUACAUAUGUUUUUUUUUUGUUAUGUCCCUUCUUGUACCUUUAUUAUUCUUUUGCAUUAUUAAAAUUAUCAUGUACUUUGUCAACUUUUAAAUAAAUUUGUGCUGAAAUCAUUUUACAUCCAAUUUAAUUCAAAUUUUCAUUUUCUAAUAUCUAUUUCAAUAAUUAUAUAUAUAUUCUUAUUUUUAUGCAAAUCUGUCAAUUCAUACAUUAGGUGUUUUGAAAUAUUCAUUCUACGAUAUAUAUAUUUUAAUGAUUGCAUGUGUCUAUUAAGCUUGACAUUAUUUUACAAUAAUCUUAUACCAUGUUGCUUCUUCGAAUUGCAUUCUAUUUUAUGCCUCUAAUAAUUUUAUUAUGUCAUGUAUGCCGUCAUUGCAUUUUAUUCAUUAUUGCCAUGAUUAAUUGUUCUCCGUACAUAAUUGAGGUUGAGUCAUAUUUUCAAGCUAAUUGUAUUUAAUUGCUCAUUUUCUUGGUUGAUCGAUAUUCUCAUUCAUCAAGUAUGGUAUCUCAUAUGCACCUAUUAUCCCAUCUCAUCGUUUUCAUUUGGUUUUUCGAAAUGUGGUUUUAUAAAAUCCAAUUUCUACGACUAAUGUCAUCUUAUUUCAAAUCGAAUUAAUAUAUUUUUAAGUAUUCAUCCAAAAAUUCUUCAAAAUGAAGGCGAAAUUUGAUGUUCGGCGAUUCGCGGAAUCGUGCCCUAACGUGUUGGGUUGCAAUUUCGUAUUUGCUCAGAAUAAUCGAAUUUCCCUUCGAAAUUUCAUUCAUACUUUUUAAAAUCCCUUAAAUGAAUAUGAGAUUUGAUGUUUGGCAAUUCGCGGAAUUGUGCCCUAACGUGUUGGGUUGCAAUUUCGCAUUUGUUCAAAAUAAUCGAAUAUCAUUUUAAAAUUUUGCUCGUGUCUCUUAAAAUCUCUAAAACGAAGGCGAUAUGUGAUAUUUGGCAAUUCGCGAGAUCGUGCCCUAACGUGUUGGGUAGCAAUUUCCCGAUUUUUUUAAAAUAAUCAAAUAUCCCUUCAAAAUUUCACUCGGCUUUUCUAAAAAUCUUUUAAAACGAAGGCAAUAUUCGGUGUUUGACGAUUCGGGAAUCAUGCUCUAUCGCGCUGGGUUGUGAUUUCUAGUUUAGUCAAAACAAUCGAAUAUUCCUUUAGGUUUUCAUUCGCUUUUUGAAAACAUUCUUAAAAAUGAAGACGAUGUUCAAUGUUUGGCGAUUUGAAAAUCGUGCCCUAUCGUGCUGGGUUGCGCUUUUUCAUUUGUCCAAAAUAAUCGAAUAUCUCCUCGGAAUUUCACACGUAUUUUAUAAGGUAAGGCAAUGGUCAAUGUUUGGAAAUUCGAGGAAUCGUACCCUACUGUGCUGGGUUUCGAUUUUUCAUUGGACUAAAUAAUUGAGCAUCCUUUUGUGAUUUUCAAAUUAUAAAUUUUUCGGACGUCGAAACAAAAAGAUUUUUGACAAUCAACUCGGGUUAUUCAACUUUUAUUAAAAGGAGCCACAUUCCGAAAAACAUUUUUUUUAGACAUAAGGAUAGUAUUUAAUUGAUUUGGUACCAAUUUUGAGCGUAGUGAGGGUGCUAAUCUUUCCUCAUGCGUAAUCGACUCCCGAGCCCAUUUUUCUAAAAUUUUCGUAGACCAGAGUCAUUGUUUUAGUAAAUCGCAAACCUUUUAUUAAAAUAACCAAAUUUUUAAGUGAUCCGAUCACACCUAAAACAAAAAGAUCGGUGGCGACUCCAUAUUUCUAUUUUCCAAAAAGUCGAUUCCCCUCAUUUUUUAAACCUAAAAUUUUUUAAAUCGAGGGAUGGUUUCAACAAUUAGCUUUAAAAUUUAAUAACAAAAUUUUGAAUUAAAUAAAAUAUAAAACCACUUAAAUGAAGACAAUAUACUGCUGAAGAAAAUAUCACCACUAAACUCCAAUAGUGCAAAAGGACAGAGGCUCAUCAUUAAAGGAGAAAAGGGAUGGUGGAAAGAUGUAGAAUGGGAGGAUGAAUCCACUCGAGCUGUUUUUCUCCCCUCGUUCAAACCUCAGUAAUCUAUGAAAUGUUAGAUAUUAAUUAAGGCUUAAAGCCAUUACUGUAUCAUAGCAUACCUCAGUUCUAAUUUACAUAUCUUUAAAUCACAUGUAAUUUAUAAUAAAAUGUUUGAAUCUGAGAGUAUAUCAUGUUGGUUUUCUCUAUUUUUCGUUUCUCCCAAAGAGCAGAGCUCAAAUAUUACCUUAUUUCAUUAUGAUGGUUUUGCUUCAAACUUACCUUUUCGAAAGGAGCUGAUGCAUUUAUGGAAGGACUUGAAGUCUUUGUGUCUUGUUGUAUAAUUCGACCAUGUAAAAUUUCACCUGAGUAAGAUAAAACAAAGGAAUUUUCUCAUCUAUAAAUCAAACUUAAAAUGGUAUUCACAUCUGUUAGUAGAUAACAUAAUUUCAUUCCCCUUCUUCAGACCACAUGCCAUAAGUCAGAAACAUAACCAUUAACAGGUUCCUCUGUCAAUCAAGUAGACUGCAUUUCUAUAUACAGACUUCAGGCUUCAUUUAUCAAUAAGUUAGAAGGAUUAUCAAAGAAAGGCUAAAAGACAAAGAAGGCAUGCAAAGAUUUAAUCACUUACAGCAAACUGGUUAGUUAAAUCCUGAUGCUUAUAUUUUUUGGACAUCUCUUCAAUUGGUUCUUUGCCUUCGGACUGCUGUUGUUGUUUCUGUUGGGGAUUUGGCACACUUUAACCAGAUGAAGUAAGAACUUCAAUCUGGACUUUAACAGCAGUGUAUUAUACCUAGAUAAAGAAUGAAGUAAAAAUGCUUGGAAUUCAAGCUUUGAGCUACUGCUAGAAAUGGAGAACAGAAUUUUGAAGGCAAAGAGAAGUGGAGCAAAUGGAAGUAAAAUCUGAUGAUUUCAUUCAAAAAAAAAACUUUGGCUCAAAGCCAUUACAUAUAUCAAUCAUUGACUGAUCAAAAAAUAAGAAAAAAACAAUGCUUACCUAAUACCACUAAUUACAUGGAAACUUGAUAAAAUAACUUGUACACUUGAACAAAGCUGGUAACCAGCUCUUUGACCAUCAAGUUACAUCAAGUUGUCAUCCAAACAUAAUUCAAAAUGAACUAAGUUACAAAAAAACAUUGUUAAAAAGAAACAAAAUGAAACUGAGGUGAAACAGUAGCAUUAACAUCUUCAGUUGCACGUACUUUAUCCGGACAACUUAUGUGCAUGAAUUCUUACGUGCAUGAAUUUGCAUGAGCUGCAUGGCCAUCUUUUCUGGUUCAAGAUGCAUACUUCACCCGGUAAUAAUACAACAGUUUGAUCUCUUUUCUUUUCUUUACAGCUACAUGCAUGGCUCGGGCUGCUUCUUGAAACUUUGGCUUCUUCACAUGCUGCAUGCAGGCCAAUUUCCAACAGUUUCCUUCACUCAGACUUAUACACCUAUUUCAUAAGUGACACAUUCAACAUACAUUUGUAUUAGCAGGUAAAAAGCACCAAGUCCCAACAUUACCUCUCAAUAUCUUCGACCAUGAUCAAGAUAACUGUAACCUUCAUCUUUUUUUCUAUGAAAACCAGCUUUAGUCAGCUCAUCUUCAUCACCAUCACUUUCAGCAGGUUUACUCAACUCAUCUUCAGUUGACAUUAUACUGCCAUGCUCUGCCUUUUCCACAGCCGAAGGAAAAUAUCAAUUGUAGAAUGCCCAAUGCUGAAGAAGCUCCCACUAAACUCUGAUACUGCAAAAGGACAAACGCUCAUCAUUUUAGAAGAUGAGUAGUAGUGAAAAAAUGUAGAAUGAGAAGAUGAAUCCACUCAAAUUGCUUUUCUCCUUUUUUUUAUACCUCUGUAAACUACAAAUGCUGUCUAUUUUGUUGUCAAAUAACGAUAGUUAUUCAAAUAACAAGUAGGAUUUUAUUGUCAUAUAUGUAUCAUUAAACAGAUGGUCUUAGAUUUUGUGGCCUUCGUCUUCCAAUGCUGUCUCUUGUGUUUCCUUUUCUGAUCAUUGUUUAAGUGGCAAUAAUGGUGCUUGUAUGAAUGCUAGUGAUUCAGUCCUAUCAGUAAGUGAGAAAAGCUUUUUUUGGAACUCUAGCUCCCGUUUGGAUAACAAAAAUGUCCAAGGCUGUAGGUGCUUUAGUUCUUUACUUCUCUUUAAAUUCCUAGAACAGGGAUUUCAUUUGCUGAUGAAUUGCUAGGAAGGUGGCAGAGUAAUGUUAGAUGUUACUACCUAACAUCUUACACAUGCUGCUAUUAGUAUUCCUUUUUCUUCUUUUGAUGGGAUCUUAGUCCUCCUCAACAUUGCAAGUUGCCAAUGAGGGGAGUGGUUUCCACACAAAAGACAAGAAUUCCCCUUCAUCUGUCAUAACACCUCAGCAUGCCAAAUUGGAAUUCAGACUUUAGAAUAAAAUUCAGGUUCUAAAAUUGCAGAUUCACUGGUUGAUUGCAAGUUGCCAAUGAGGGGAAUGGUUUCCACACAAAAGACAAAUCCUUUUAUCUGUCAUAAAUAUCAGCAUGCCAAAUUGGACAUACUGUCCACCCAUAAUGCCCUGCCCAAAGCUACCAAAGAAAGUGGAACCCUUGAAAGAGAAAGAGAGAUAUAGGUCCAACAUGGGAAUUCCUUUAUUGGAUCAUUCUACUAAAAUAUUCAUUCUAUUAACAAAAUUAUAAAAACUUCAAACUUUAUAAUAUUAUAACUUUUGGUUAUCAAAAUUUAUAAUUUUUUUAAAAUGUAAGUAUCAUAUUAAAAAAAUUAUCAAACUUAAAUAUUAAAUGAUAUAUUAAGCAUUUCAAUAAACAAACUUUGCAAACAUUUAUGUAAAAUUUUAAACAUCUUUGAUUAUUUUAUAUUUUAAUUAUUAUUUGGUACCAAAAUACAUGUGAACUUCCAACAGUUUGUCUUUUGUUUACCUGCGAAUUUUCUUUCUCUGUUUUUGUUUACCAAAAUAUUCUCAAUAUUUCAUAUAACUCCGUAAGCAUCUUUGAUUUAUUCCUUGCUUCUAUUUCCAGAAAUUGUUCAGCUCACUCUUCUGAAAUCAAAACCAGGUAUGGGUAAUAUCUUCUCAAUUUCACUUUCACUCGAUACCAUCAUUACCCGUUAUUGGGAUUCUGCUGUUGGAAAGGCUGCUUUUCUAUCCAAACUUGAAGAAAACCUCCACGCUUUAAAAAAUAAAGUGGAAGAAUUGAAGGCGAUAAGGACGUAUCUUAUGAGCAGGGUCAGGGUCGCUGAAGAUGAGCAGCAACUUAGGCGGCUACCCCAAGUUGAUCUUUGGCUUCAGAGGGCUAAUCGUGUGAUAGCCGAUGCCGAUCAACUGAUUGUCCAAAGUCCUCAGCAAGUUGAAAAGCUAUGUAUGGGAGGUUGUUGUUCCAGGCAUCCCAGGUCCACCCACAAGUUCGGGAAGCAAAUCGCCACAAUACUCCAAGAGGUGAAAGACAUGAAGGAGAAAGGAGAUUUCAGUGAUGUGGCCUGCAAGCCACCAAUUCCUUCCGCAAAUAAACGACCUUCUGAGCCAACUGUGGGUUUAGAGUCCUAUGUCGAUCAGGUUUGGAGCUAUAUUCAAAACUGUUGAAAGCUGGACUGCAAUGCAACAUGGAGCCAAAAGCUUGCUACUGUCAAGACCAGCAGCUAUCGAGCUUAGCUCAUUUUGCUUGGUGCGCACGAAUGGUUUUUGAACCGAAUGAAGCAACCAACUUUGCUGCUUUGUUUUGAUGUAAUUUGGUUCAGUUCAACUUUAGUUUGUUUGUAAUGCUAGUUAAACUUAAGUUAGUGACAAGAUCUUUUGAUGUAAUGGCUGAUUGGUCAGCUAUGUUUGAUUAUUUUUUGGCUAGUGAUUAGGUUUGUAUUAGUUGGGGCAGUUAAAUACAUUAGGUAACUGUCAAUGUAUAAUGUAACUCUUUUAUAUAUUUCAAGUUGAAUGAAAAAUGUUCAUGUUCAGUCACAACAUUGCUGAGUAUUUUGAUUUUUUUGACCAAAUUUUUGCUUUGCUUUGCCUCGAUUCUUCUUGCUUCAGUCUUGCAAACACUGUGUUGCAACUUUGUUUUGAUGUUUGCUGCUGCCAUUGUUCCAACAAAUGGUAUCAUGAGCCCGAGUCUUUGAGGGGCCUUUGUAUGCAAUCUGUUGUGUUCGAAUCAAAACCAACAGCAAGUUCAAAAUUUGGUAAGGUCGAAGCAUUUGGAUUCAGUCUAGCAGAAUAAGUUUCACUCCACCACCUCCACCAGUGUUCACUGGAGAAAACUAUCACAUUUGGAUAGUUAAAAUGAAGACUUAUCUCCAGGCACAUGAUCUUUGGAGUGUGAUCGAGAAUGAUGCUGAACCACCUCCAUUGAGAGCCAAUCCCACCAUUGCACAGAUGAGGCAACAUACUGAGGAGCGAGCCAAGAAGCAUAAGGCUAUGGCCUGCUUGCAAAAUGGAGUCUCUGAUGUGAUAUUUACUCGCAUCAUGGCCUGUGACUCACCAAAGCAGGCUUGGGAGAAGCUGAAGGAGGAGUUCAUGGGGACUGAUAAGACAAGGCAACAGCAAGUGAUCAACCUCGGGAGAGACUUUGAAAAUUUGAGGAUGAAGGAGUCUGAGACCAUCAAGCAAUACUCAGACAGGAUAAUGGCCAUUGUCAACAGCAUUAGGCUCCUCGGAGUGGACUUCACAGAGAGCAGAGUUGUUGAAAAGGUUAUUACAACUCUCCCUGAGAAAUUUGAGUCUAAAAUCUCUUCACUUGAGGACUCGAGGGACUUAUCAGCCAUUUCUUUGUCUGAGCUGAUAAACUCCCUGUAUGCACUUGAGCAAAGGAGGGCAAAUAGGCAGGAGGAGAAUCCUGAAGCUGCCUUCCAGGCUAAAGCCAGUGAAGGCUCGAGUGUGAGUGCAAAAGGCAAGAAGCCUUGGCACAAUAGAAGGGUCAAGUCAGGAAGAGAUGAAGCAAAAAGGGUGUUCCCACCAUGUUUUCAUUGCAAGAAGACAACACAUUCAGAAAAGUAUUGCUGGUUUAGGCCAGAUAUUCAGUGUAAAAAAUGCAAGCAGUUUGGCCAUGUGGAGAAGGUGUGCAAGGGCAAACCAAGGGAGGCUGCUCUGCAACAAGCUAGACCUGCUGAGGACAUUCAAGCUCAGGAGGAGCAAGUGUUCACAGCAACUUGUUUUGUUGGCACAACCAAGGCCAGCAAUGAUUGGCUACUAGACAGUGGCUGCUCACACCAUAUGGCAGCAGAUGAGAAGCUGUUCAAAAGCCUAGACAGAAGCUUCCACUCGAGGAUUAGAAUUGGAGAUGGUAGGCUGAUUGAGGCUAAAGGCAAGGGCAGUGUGUUGAUUAGCACUGGUUCAGGAAACAAGCUGAUCUCAGAUGUGUUUUUUGUACCUGACUUAGACCAGAAUUUGCUUAGUGUAGGCCAAUUAGUUGAAAAGGGCUAUACAUUGGUUUUUAAGGAUGGUUGCUGUAUUGUUCAAGACAUGAAUGGUCUGGAGUUAGUCACAGUCUCUAUGACUGAUAGGUGCUUCAUGCUGGAUGUUAGCCAAAUAGAAAGAAAGGCAUACACCAGCCUUGUUGAAAGCACUGACUUGUGGCAUAGGAGACUAGGUCAUGCAAAUUUUAGAUCCAUCGAUCUAUUACAUAGGCUGAAUCUGGUUGAUGACAUUUCAAAAAUUGAAGCUAGUGGGAAUGUUUGUGAGGUUUGUCAGCUUGGUAAGCAGGCUAGACUGCCUUUUCAUGCUGACAGUGCUUGGAGAGCUCAAGACAAGCUCGAAUUGGUGCACUUUGAUGUUUGUGGCCCUAUGAGAACACCUUCAAUCAGUGAAAACAGGUACUUUGCCUUGUUUAUAGAUGAUUUAACAAGGUUGUGCUGGGUCUACUUCUUGAAGCAAAAGUCAGAAGUGUUUGAAGCCUUCUGCAAAUUCAAGGCUUAUGCUGAAAAUCAGUCAGGCUGCAAAAUUAGAGCCUUGAGGACUGAUAAUGGAUCUGAAUAUGUGUCUGAGAGAUUUCAGAAGCUUUGUGACAGUGCUGGGAUUCACCAUCAGCUCACAACAGUCUAUACUCCUCAACAGAAUGGAGUCUGUGAGAGAAAGAAUAGGACUGUACUGAACAUGGCCAGGUGCCUCUUGUUUCAAGGCAAGCUUCCAAGUCAGUUUUGGGCUGAGGCAGUCAACACCUCAGUGUAUCUGCUCAACAGACUGCCAACUAGAGCAGUCAAGGAUAAGACUCCUUUUGAGGCUUGGCAUGGAGUCAAACCUGUGGUAACACACUUAAAAGUGUUUGGCUGUGUAUGUUAUGCACUUAUUCCAGUAGAGAAAAGGACCAAGCUUGAGAGCAGAGCAACUCCAGGAAUCUUUGUUGGCUACAGCAGCAACAAGAAGGGCUAUAGAGUGUAUGAUCCUACAGCAAAGAAGGUUUUAGUCAGCAGGGAUGUUAAGUUUGAUGAGGAAAAGGUGUGGAAUUGGAAUGGUGUUGUGGCUGACUUGUCUGAAUUGGACCAGUUAGACUUGGUUGCUGAACCUGCAGAAGAAGGACCAAGUAAUGAUGCUGUCGAUGAUAUACCAGUGAGGGGCACCAGAACUUUGGUUGAUGUUUAUCAGAGGUGCAAUGUUGCUGUGAUUGAGCCCUCAGACUUUGAAGAGGCUGCUAAAAACAGAAGCUGGAUGAAAGCUAUGGAAGCUGAGUUGGAAAUGAUCAACAAAAAUCAGACUUGGGAGUUGGUGAGCAGACCAGAACACAAGAGGGUCAUAGGAGUUAAAUGGGUGUAUCGGGCCAAGUACAAUGCUGAUGGCUCACUGAACAAGCACAAGGCCAGGCUUGUGGUGAAGGGCUACAGUCAGCAGUAUGGUGUUGACUACCUAGAAACUUUUGCUCCAGUGGCAAGACUGGAUACAAUUAAGCUGCUGUUUGCUUUAGCAGCUCAGAAGCAGUGGAGAGUUCACCAAUUGGAUGUCAAAUCAGCAUUCCUGAAUGGUUUUCUCAAGGAGGAGAUCUUCAUCGAGCAACCUAAAGGUUUUGAAGUUGUUGGACAUGAAGACAAAGUGUAUAAGUUGAGAAAGGCCCUCUAUGGCCUGAAACAGGCACCAAGGGCCUAGUAUGACAGAGUUGAUGCCUAUUUGACCAAACUUGGAUUUGUAAAGAGCCUUAGUGAGCCUACUCUAUAUGUUAAAAGGUCAGAACAUGAAACCUUGCUGAUAGUCUCCUUGUAUAUGGAUGAUUUGCUUGUGACAGGGAGCAAAAUCGAGCUCAUUGAUCAGUUCAAGGUCCAAAUGCAGCAAGUGUUUGAGAUGACAGAUUUGGGGAUCAUGACUUACUUCCUUGGCAUGGAAGUGCACCAAUCUGAUCGAGGUAUCUUCAUCAGCCAACACUCAUUUGCUUUGAAGAUCCUAGACAAAUUUUGCAUGCAUAACUGUAAAGCAGUCAGCACACCUGUGGCUCAAGGAGAAAAGUUGACUAGCAGUGGUGAUCAGCAGAGGGUUGAUGAGAGGCACUAUCGAAGCCUAGUUGGUUGUCUGUUGUAUCUAACAGCAACCAGGCCAGAUAUCAUGUUUGGUGUCAGCCUGUUAUCGAGAUUUAUGCAUUGUUGCAAUGAGGCACAUUUGAAGGCAGCAAAGAGGAUCCUUAGAUAUAUCAAGGGCACUGCUAGUUUUGGUGUAAUGUUUGAAAGUCAGAACCAACUGAAACUAGAAGGCUACUCUGACAGCGACUGGGCAGGAUCUCUCGAUGACAUGAAGAGUACCUCUGGAUACUUCUUCACACUUGGAUCGGGCAUGUUUUGCUGGAGUUCUAAGAAGCAACAAAUUGUUGCUCAGUCCACAGCUGAAGCAGAGUACAUUGCUGCAGCAGGAGCAGUUAAUCAGGCCAUUUGGCUAAGAAAGCUGCUUUAUGAUCUUAAUGAAACACAAGAUGAAGCAACUGAAAUCUGGGUGGACAAUCAGUCUGCAGUUGCAAUAGCCAAGAACCCUGUGUUCCAUGGCAAGACUAAGCAUUUCAAGAUCAAAUUGCAUUUUGUUAGAGAGGCUGAACAAGCAAAGGAAGUCAGCCUUGUGCAUUGCAGCUCAGGAGCACAAUUGGCUGACAUAAUGACCAAGCCCUUAGGGGCUGCUCGAUUUGAAUCUUUGAGAAGUGCAAUUGGAAUGUGUUGCAUACAGUCCAAGGAGGAGUGUUGAAAGCUGGACUGCAAUGCAACAUGGAGCCAAAAGCUUGCUACUGUCAAGACCAGCAGCUAUCGAGCUUAGCUCAUUUUGCUUGGUGCGCACGAAUGGUUUUUGAACCGAAUGAAGCAACCAACUUUGCUGCUUUGUUUUGAUGUAAUUUGGUUCAGUUCAACUUUAGUUUGUUUGUAAUGCUAGUUAAACUUAAGUUAGUGACAAGAUCUUUUGAUGUAAUGGCUGAUUGGUCAGCUAUGUUUGAUUAUUUUUUGGCUAGUGAUUAGGUUUGUAUUAGUUGGGGCAGUUAAAUACAUUAGGUAACUGUCAAUGUAUAAUGUAACUCUUUUAUAUAUUUCAAGUUGAAUGAAAAAUGUUCAUGUUCAGUCACAACAUUGCUGAGUAUUUUGAUUUUUUUGACCAAAUUUUUGCUUUGCUUUGCCUCGAUUCUUCUUGCUUCAGUCUUGCAAACACUGUGUUGCAACUUUGUUUUAAUGUUUGCUGCUGCCAUUGUUCCAACAAAAACGAACUAGUGGGAAUCAGUGGCAUAUAUGGCUUAGGAGGGGUUGGCAAGACAACCCUCCUAAACCAAAUCAAUAACAAAUUCCAUGAUACUACCCAUGAUUACCUUGUCAUUUGGGCAGUUGCAUCGCAAGAUCGGCCAAUUGAGAAAGUCCAGGAUGAGAUUGCCAAAAGAAUAGGCCUUUCCAAUGAACGUUGGAAAUCUAAGAGCCUUGAUGAGAAAGCUGGAGACAUAUGCAGCAGAUUAUAUAAUAGGAGGUUUGCAUUGUUGUUGGAUGAUAUAUGGGAAUGGUUUGAUCUCACAAGAGCUGGGAUACCUAUUCCAACACUGGACAAUGACUGUAAAGUCAUUUUCACAACUCGUCGUCUUGACGUGUGCUGUCAAAUGCAACCGAACAUGGAUAAUAAUAUCAGAGUGGCAUGUUUACCAUCAGGAGAAGCUUUCAAACUGUUCGAGGAGAAGGUUGGGUCAGAAACCCUUCAAAUGCAUCCGGAUAUUCACAACAUAGCUGAAGCGGUGGUUGAAGAGUGUGCAGGACUACCUCUCGCUCUCAUUACAAUUGGGCGAGCCAUGGCAUCCAAGAAGACCUCUCGAGAAUGGGAAUAUGCUAUUGAAGUUUUAAGGCAAUCAGCAGCCUCUGUGUUCCCAGGGGUAGGGAAAGAGAUGUAUCUCAAGUUAAAAUUCAGUUAUGACUGUUUAC
rnacentral:lncRNA from 1 species